AUGAUGUCCAAGGCCGCCGCCGGCGAUAAAGGCAAUGGAGCUUCUUCCACCUGCAGCAUGUGCAGGCAGCUGACCAAACUCUUUCCUCUCCACCUGACCAUCGUCCUUCUCCUCGGCGUCGCCACCAACGGUCGGCCGGAGGCGGCGGCGGCGAGGUCGUUCAGCUUCCACAACGCGUGCGAGCACCCGGUGUGGGUGGGCGCUCUCAACGGCGCCACAUCGCCGCGGCUCGCCCGCACCGGCUUCUACCUCGCCCCCGGCGCCACUGACGCCCUCGCCGCCCCGUCCUCCGGCGCCUGGUCCGGCAACUUCUGGGCGCGCACCGGCUGCGCCGUCGACGCCUCCACGGGCCGCCUCGCCUGCGCCACCGCCGACUGUGGCACCGGCGGUGUCUCCUGCGCCGGCCACGGGCCCGCCCCGCCCGUCACGCUCGCUGAGAUCACCCUCGCAGCCCCGGGCGGAGGAGGCCAGGACUUCUACGACGUCAGCCUCGUCGACGGAUUCAACCUGCCCCUCUCCAUCGCGCCCAACAACAAUGGGGACGGCGGUGCCUGCCGCGCCGCAGCGUGCGCGGGCGACGUGAACGCGGUGUGCCCGUCGGACCUGCGUGUGGUGUCCGGCUCCGGCGAGGUGGUGGCGUGCAAGAGCGCGUGCAACGCCUACGGCAGCGCGCGCUACUGCUGCACUGGCGACUACGGCACGCCGGCGAAGUGCGGGCCCACGAACUACUCGCGGGUAUUCAAGGCCGCCUGCCCGGCCGCCUACAGCUACGCCUACGACGACGCCAGCUCCACCUUCACCUGCGCCGGCGCCGCCACCUACCACAUCACCUUCUGUCCCGUCACCUGA
rnacentral:rRNA from 1 species